GCAGGCGUGCGGGGGGCGGCGGCGCCCAAGCGGACACGGAGCCGGUCAGCAGCAGCCGCGGCGGCGCUGCAGGGACGAGCGCCCAGGUCGCUCCAACCUUCCUCGCUGGACUCCGGGGCCCAGGACUGGGCAGUUUCGUCUGGCCUAGGAGUCUCAAGGGUCGGUCUGGGGUUCUAGCAGCCACAGCUGCGAGCUCUCCCGGCCCCGC
rnacentral:lncRNA from 1 species